UUUUCUGUAUAAUUUUAGCACAUACGUAACUUAUUUAAUUUUAAUUGCAGAAAAUAUGGAAAAAUAUAUCCGUGAAUUACAGUGCUAAUAAUAUGCAGAAUGCAGAAAUUAAUUGUGCAGGGAUUAAAUUAAUUGCAUCAGUAUAAUCUUUUUUCCGUGUAUUAAAUAUAAUUAAAAUAAUAUUCGCAUAGGAAACUUAAUAAUCAAUGUGCGACAAAUUAAAUUAUUCAUCUCUCGAAAUUAUUCUGUGAAAAAGAGAUAUUUGAAUUGCAAGAUAAAAUUAUUUAGUAGAAAAUAAUUUUGUAUAAAAAAUUUAUCGAGCUUAAAAAAUUUUAUUACAUUUCAAGGAAAAAUGUGACCAAGCAAUGUUUUAAAUUGCAUCUUUAUCCCGCGUAAAUACGUUAGAGCCAUUCAUUGGUCAAAAAAGUAAAUUCAAAAUUCUCGAGUUCUGAUUGGAGUAAACCGAUUGUAUCUAGUUUCGCUUUGCUGCUUUCUUCUAUAUCGGGUAUCGCAACGUCUACGUCGCGUAAGGUGUAAGAAUUAAUUUAUAAUUACGUAUUAUAACAAUAAUCUGGGUAAUAUUACUUUGUAAAGAGUGAAAAGUUUCACUCGCGAUCAAAUAAUGCACGAACACACAUAUAAAUAUAUAAAUUAAAGCAUAUAUAAAAUCACUUGCAAGAUAAUCGGUCGGAAGGUUGGAAUCUAUUUCUUCGAAAAGCUACGCGUAAAUGUUUUUCAUCGGUCCGUUCGAUAUAGUUAGUGGACAAUUUUCGGUGUCGUCGUGGUUCCGUAAGCUCGCCGACAGCGAUAAAAGGGACAUCAUUACCCGGCCAUUCCGCUUGUUUGCGAGAUUCAGCUUAAGAAAUUUAGGAGGAAAUUAGGAGGCGAGGACGCUUAUACACAAUAUCUCGUGGACUUUGAGAAAAAGAAUGAAUCGUGUCCUUGACUUCUAUGCGACGAAUUAAAGGAUUCUGGUGUAAAGAGCAACUACGCCGGGAGCUACGUCUAGGGAGAGGCGUCGCUACGUGUCUGCUCCGAACAAGUCGAACAUGAAUGCCGGACGGAUUGUAAUUUCGUAUUUUUAUCGAGUUUUUUCUUUGCCGUGACAAGGUUCGCGUCGGUUAACAUCGGUAGUGCCGUUCAAAAUGUCGCGUGGUCGUCGUAUUUUCGCGAGUGUGACAAGGAAGGAGCAUCCAUUGAUGGGCUAUUGGAAGAAGAGGAAACUCAGGUUUUGACAAAGCAGCUUUAAGAGACGAAAAGAAAAACGACGAGAGAAACUGAGCGAAUUCAGGCUCAUAACGAACGAUUAGAGCGAUGUGAGUGCAGAGUCCCCGGAAGGGGAGGGAAGACAAAAAGGACACGGAGGGACAGAGCGAAAGGAUGGUCACUAGAUAAUUUCAUGUCGACGGACGUACUGCAUAUGCAAGUGCCACUGCAGUCACGACACAGCGACUGGCGUUGUCAUACGAGUACAAAUAACGUUGACAUUCGUGCACACAAAUAUGCUUACAUCGUGUGCAUUUUCGUACAGCUGGAAGUGCAAACAUGCAAGAUGCAAAGUAACGGUAUCAUAUUGCCAUCUCGAGAGGACCACACAAACCUGCAUGGAAUUCAUAGUUGGAAUGGUAAAUCCACGAUAAAUGUUUAUCUUUCUUCGGUAACAUUAUCGCUUGUUGCGUAUACAGCAGUACAAAUUUCGCAAAAGUGACACAUCGUGAAAUUAGCGCUCAUUAUUCUAACGAAUUGAGCCAUAUUUUUUUUUCAUGUUUCAACCUCGCGGUAUCCUAAAUGCAAUUUUAUUUCUUUAUAAAACAGAAAAAAUAAGUUUCAUUAAAUUGAUGGCAUCGAUAAGGUAAUCUAUUUAUAAAUAAUUCAAUUACCGUGCAAGAAUCUUGCAACUUUUAGCAGUAAUUAUGCAAAACUCUUAGUUUUCAUCUGAAUGUACUCGUAUAUGUAUAUCAUAACCUUUUCCUUUUCUAUAUUUAGUAUUUACUUCAACCGUUUAAUAUCUGCAACGCGCUUGAUAAUGUAACAUCUAAUCUUGGAUAUUCUGAUGAACUUUCGGAAAUCAAGCCGCAUUUUGAUCGUCUGUGAAAAUAAGAGGUCUAAGCGUUGAAGUCACCACAUGCGCGUGACUCGAUAACGAGCAAGCUUUCGGCAUAAAGAAGCGAGCGCGUGGAUUUUUGGCGUUCAAAUCUCUCAGCUGUAAUCACCAGCAAAUCUCGUUUGUCGCGGAAUUUUAAUCAAUAAUCAAUCUCAAAAUCGCCGUGAUACGAUGGUGAAUACUUAUUGCAGAAACCGAAAAUGUACUGUAUCAAAUAAUAUGGUCACCAGACAAUCAAUCGUCAAGUCUUUACAAAAAAAUAAUAUUUUAUUGUAAUAAGACUUAUAGAUCUAUCCUUCUCAGCUGCGCGCGUGUUAAGUUUAUGUCAUUACUUCUUGUUUAUCUAAAUUAUGGGUGUGUACUUAUUCAUUCAAAACGCAAUGUGGGUGAAGUUGCGUCGAGACAAAAUGACGUGAGCGUCAUUAAUGCUGAUGACAAGAGACAAUCCCACGUAAUAAAACUCGAUCGUUUAAGCCCGGCGAAAUGAAUCAUCGGGAAUCGCGCUGCUAAUGCGAUCAAGCUCAAUAUUUACUUGACGUGCUUUGUCGCAGCGUAGGUUCUCUUUAUCAAGAGCGUAAUGGUGUCAUGUCGCUUGAGAGAAAAAUUACACGAGGCCUUUUCACAGAUAUGUAUACGUGUCAUAGAAUAUUUAUUACAUUAUGCACGAACAAAAUCACUCCACCGUUAGAUCAUCGAAGAUACCGCAAGUGAGAGGAACCUACUCUAUCUACCAGUGGUUUAAACGAGCCAUUACGUCCGUAAAAGGAAAAAUAGUUCUAUGAUAAGAUGCGAAGCUCGCGCAUAGCACGCCAUCGGACGUCGCGUCGUCGUAACUAUUGACCUUUAUCACUGCGGCGACUUCACCCUGGCAGCUCAGCUGAGCUCGGCGGAGCUUAAAGCACAUCGAAGAUGGCGACCGGAGGGUAGAGUCGAGCCGGAGACGUGCAGCACAAAGACAACCUCUUCCCCGGUGGAGACGGCCGUGUAUAUUGGAGCGAGCUGUCCGCGUGAGCCGAGUUCGAUGGUGGCGGGUUUCUCCGGUUUUCCGCUAAUUCAGGAUUUCGAUCGGGUACGCAGCGGUUUAAACACACUAACACACCGUUCUCUCGUUUCUUCGUUCGCCAUCUAAAGUAGCAAUUAACGCUCGCGUUAAUGCUUCUUCCCCGUCAAUGUCUAGUCAGAUGGAUGCGAGAAAUAAGAAAAGAAGAUGCGAUUUGGUGAAAAAGAGAAACCGUGACGCUCCGAUCGAGAUGAGGGUCGACGCAUGCGGGAAGUCGAAAUCAAACCAAAGUGUGUAAAAUAUAGUAUCAAGAUAACCGGGUUGAUUCACAGGGAUCCCGACGAUCAUCUUCCUCGCAAGACGCCGUGCGCUGAUAUCGUACCAAAGAAAAUCGAUCCUACAUUAAGUUCCUCUUUUCUACUCCGACAAAAUCGAAAUGUCGAUGAACGAAAUGCAAUCAUUAGAAAUCAAGUUUUAGACAAUCCAUCGUGAAAACUUUUAUUAAUUCAAUUAAUUAGGUAAGAUAGAUGAGAAUCGAAAGACUUAACCGACGUGUCAUCCAAGUGCCAUCGCAGUAAUAGAGAUUGAAAAUGCGAGAAACUAGAGUAAAAAAGCGUGAAACGAAUUAGCUAAUAAGCAACUGGUGCAGAAUCGCCUUCGAAAAGCGAUUGAAGGUACUGCGAAACUGUAGACUAUCGAUCGGGCGAGGGAUCUCGACGGCGACUCGAAAAUUGCGACGUCGAGUUUACCGGUAACAUCGAUGCGGUGCUGGUUGGUGGAGUCAGCAUUUCCAAUUUAGCGACUCUAGGGAGCGACGUGCGCGAGAGGAAUUUUUCUCGAUGAAACUUUCGUAAUUUAUUGUUAAUCUCCAUGUUUAUUGUAAUCUUCGUGUUGAUUGCGGACAAUCGGUGCGAGAGAAAAGGACCGUGCCGUUGAUUUCUGCGACUGUCUUGCUGAGAGAUUGAAAUCGCUGGCACGAUCAGUGAUAAAGUUUUCAAAGAAUUUUUCCGAUUUUUAACGUGCUGACUUUCUUCUUGAUGCGUUGAGCGAUUUUUAAUAGUGCACAAAAUAAAAACGACGCGCUUUUUUUAGAAGAAAUUUUAAUAAUCGAUUAAUGAAACGAAAUUUUUGGAGAAAUUUUGAAGUCGGUGACUUAUGCAUAGAAAAGGGUAACUUUUAAAGAAACAUAUUUCGAAGAGACUCGAACGCUGCUUAUACUUUAAAAUCGAUCAGGAUCAGAGGUCGCGGACAUUUCGAAUGCGCGAUCGUAUCCGGGAGUCCCCGAAAUAAAUUAACGCCGAAUUAAAGUAGACGACGGCAAACGUGCGAUUGGACAAACGACAGGAGGGGAAAAGAAAAGAAGGUGAAAGAUCGCAGACGAAAGGAAGGAAAGAUAGGUGAACGGUCGCGUAACGGGAGGCCGAGGAUUUGUCUGGAAAAAUGCGGGAAGGGUGACGCGCGGCGUGCGGGGAUUGGGGGCUGUUCAACGAUCGGGGGAGGAAAGAGAGAAGGAGAGGAACCCUGAGGCCGCAGUCUGAACGGGGUGCGCGCAUC